AACGAACGCUGGCGGCAUGCCUAACACAUGCAAGUCGAACGAGACCUUCGGGUCUAGUGGCGCACGGGUGCGUAACGCGUGGGAACCUGCCCUUAGGUUCGGAAUAACUCCCCGAAAGGGGUGCUAAUACCGGAUAAUGUCUUCGGACCAAAGAUUUAUCGCCUUUGGAUGGGCCCGCGUUGGAUUAGCUAGUUGGUAGGGUAAAAGCCUACCAAGGCGACGAUCCAUAGCUGGUCUGAGAGGAUGAUCAGCCACACUGGGACUGAGACACGGCCCAGACUCCUACGGGAGGCAGCAGUGGGGAAUAUUGGACAAUGGGCGAAAGCCUGAUCCAGCAAUGCCGCGUGAGGGAUGAAGGGCUUAGGGUUGUAAAGCUCUUUUACCCGGGAUGAUAAUGACAGUACCGGGAGAAUAAGCUCCGGCUAACUCCGU
rnacentral:rRNA from 1 species